UCGAGAAUCUUCGGCAAUGGGCGAAAGCCUGACCGAGCGACGCCGCGUGUGGGAUGAAGGCCUUCGGGUUGUAAACCACUGUCGUAGAGGAGGAAAUCAUCGGGGGUUCUCCCCCGGAGUUGACCUAUUCUAGGAGGAAGGACGGGCUAAGUACGUGCCAGCAGCCGCGGUAAUACGUACCGUCCAAACGUUAUUCGGAAUUACUGGGCUUAAAGGGUACGUAGGCGGCGCUGUCAGUCGGGUGUGAAAGCCCUCGGCUCAACCGAGGAAUUGCGCCCGAUACUGCAGUGCUUGAGGGAGACAGAGGUAAGCGGAACUGAUGGUGGAGCGGUGAAAUGCGUUGAUAUCAUCAGGAACACCAGUGGCGAAAGCGGCUUACUGGGUCUCUUCUGACGCUGAGGUACGAAAGCUAGGGGAGCGAAGGG
rnacentral:rRNA from 1 species